rnacentral:rRNA from 1 species
UUGCUGGCGGCGUGCCUAAUACAUGCAAGUCGAACGAGUAGCAAUACUAGUGGCGCACGGGUGAGGAAUACAUAGAUAAUCUGCCUUCGAGUCGGGGAUAACCAGUCGAAAGAUUGGCUAAUACCGGAUAAGACCACAAGAUCUGCGGAUCUAGGGGUUAAAGGUUUUUCGCUUGAAGAUGAGUCUAUGCGAGAUUAGCUAGUUGGUGAGGUAAUGGCUCACCAAGGCGACGAUCUCUAACUGGUCUUAGAGGAUGAUCAGUCACACUGGAACUGAGACACGGUCCAGACUCCUACGGGAGGCAGCAGUAGGGAAUAUUGCGCAAUGGGGGAAACCCUGACGCAGCGACGCCGCGUGAGUGAUGAAGGCCUUCGGGUCGUAAAGCUCUGUCGUAUGGGAAUAACACAAUGAAUGUACCAUGCAAGAAAGGAUCGGCUAACAACGUGCCAGCAGCCGCGGUAAGACGAGGGAUCCUAGCGUUGUUCGGAAUCAUUGGGCGUAAAGCGGGUGUAGGCGGGCUUCUAAGUCAGAUGUGAAAUGCCAGGGCUCAACCCUGGAAGUGCAUUUGAUACUGGAAGUCUUGAGUGUGGUAGAGGUUACUGGAAUUGUUGGUGUAGUGGUGAAAUACGUAGAUAUCAACAGGAAUACCGGAGGCGAAGGCGAGUAACUGGGCCAACACUGACGCUGAGACCCGAAAGCGUGGGGAUCAAACAGGAUUAGAUACCCUGGUAGUCCACGCCAUAAACGAUGGAUACUUGUUGUUAGAGGUAUUGACCCCUCUAGUGACGUAGCUAACGCGUUAAGUAUCCCGCCUGGGGAGUACGGUCGCAAGAUUAAAACUCAAAGAAAUUGACGGGGGCCCGCACAAGCGGUGGAGCAUGUGGUUUAAUUCGAUGCAACGCGAAGAACCCUACCUAGGCUUGACAUGGACUGGAAGACUGGCAGAAAUGCCGUCACCCG